rnacentral:rRNA from 1 species
UACGUAGGGUGCAGGCGUUAAUCGGAAUUACUGGGCGUAAAGCGUGCGCAGGCGGUUUUGUAAGACAGGUGUGAAAUCCCCGGGCUUAACCCGGGAACUGCAUUUGUGACUGCAAGGCUAGAGUGCGGCAGAGGGGGGUAGAAUUCCACGUGUAGCAGUGAAAUGCGUAGAUAUGUGGAGGAAUACCGAUGGCGAAGGCAGCCCCCUGGGUCGACACUGACGCUCAUGCACGAAAGCGUGGGG